CGUUAGCGGCGGACGGGUGAGUAACACGUGGAUAACCUACCUAUAAGACUGGGAUAACUUCGGGAAACCGGAGCUAAUACCGGAUAAUAUAUUGAACCGCAUGGUUCAAUAGUGAAAGACGGUUUUGCUGUCACUUAUAGAUGGAUCCGCGCCGCAUUAGCUAGUUGGUAAGGUAACGGCUUACCAAGGAAACGAUGCGUAGCCGACCUGAGAGGGUGAUCGGCCACACUGGAACUGAGACACGGUCCAG
rnacentral:rRNA from 1 species